GAUGAAGAACGCAGCGAAAUGCGAUAAGUAGUGUGAAUUGCAGAAUUCAGUGAAUCAUCGAAUCUUUGAACGCACAUUGCGCCCCUCGGUAUUCCGUGGGGCAUGCCUGAUCGAGCGUCAUUUACCCCUCAAGCACUGCUUGGUGUUGGGCGUCUGUCCCGCUUCGCGCGCGGACUCGCCCCAAAGGUAUUGGCAGCGGUCGUGCCAGCUUCUCGCGCAGCACAUUGCGCUUCUCGAGGCGGUCGAUCGGCGUCCACGAAGCUCACCUCCACCGUUUGACCUCGGAUCAGGUAGGGAUACCCGCUGAACUUAAGCAUAUCAAUAAGCGGAGGA
rnacentral:misc_RNA from 1 species